rnacentral:rRNA from 1 species
GACGAACGCUGGCGGCGUGCUUAACACAUGCAAGUCGAGCGGGAUCCAACCGGUGGCAACACCGGGGAAGAUCUAGCGGCGAACGGGUGAGUAACACGUGAGCAACCUGCCCCGAAGACUGGGAUAACACCGGGAAACCGGUGCUAAUACCGGAUGUCGUCAUUAGGCCGCAUGACCUGAUGAUGAAAGGAUUCAUCGCUUCGGGAGGGGCUCGCGGGCUAUCAGCUUGNGGUGGGGUAACGGCCUACCAAGGCGACGACGGCUAGCUGGUCUGAGAGGACGACCAGCCACACU